GCCAAAUUCGGUGUCCCAGCUGUAAAUGAAGGUGUCAAAGUUGUUGACAGUUCAGGGACUGAGAUAGAUGAUGAUGUUUUUGAGGAAAUUGUGAAGGAUCCAGCCACUGGAGUACUAACCAUCAAAUACAAAACAGAAUCUGUCUCCAUGGUAACCUCUCAAAAGUCACAAUCAUCCGUUUGUUCAUCCGACUCAGACACAAUCAUCCUUGAAGACACGCCUACCAGAAAGCGUCAGAGGCUGGACUCUGAAGCUAUGCAACUGGUGAAAUCCAUUCUUACCAAGAAAUCGGGUGGAGAAAUAUAUAAUAAAUGAAUACAACCGAACUAAGUCCUUGACAGAACAGAGCAGAAGAAAAUUGGUGAAUAUACUGGCAGCUGAGAUGAUGGAGAAGAAUGGGUAAGCUGUUUAUUGGUUUUGAUUGGCACAGGUGUUCUUAUUUAGGUUUCAGAGUAAUCUAAAGUAAAUAAUAAACAUUUCACUUCAUCUUAUAAAACGUGUGUAUGACGAAUAAACUUGAAUGUGAUUUUUUUUAAGUACAUCUCGGUCAAGACAGGUGAAGGAAAUGUAUGCACAAGGAAUUGUGAACUUGUUCCCCAACCUCAGAGACCCAUUUUCCAAGAAUGGCUAUGUGGGUUACAUACUCUUAAUUGUUGUUAUUGUCUUUAUUUUGAGUUUUCCCAAAGUAUGUUGUGACUAAUGGUGCCUAUUUUUGCAAUUCUCUUAAAGUAACAUUUUUAUGGAGAAUUAAAACUAUUCAGAGAUGCAGUGCUAAAGAAAGGCGAUCAUCAUUUGGAGGUAAUCCUAUAUUAUUCUUGAAAAACGUAUUGAAUAGAAUAGUCAUAUGAGCACUUAUUGGUUUUGUUGCAUUUGUUGCAAUGCUUUUCAGCCAAUAGCCAAACAUUUUUUCAUAAAAGUUGGGUCACAUUCAGCUGACAAAGUGUUUUGAACUGUAUGUGAUUGUCAUGAGUCGUAUGUCCCUAUAUUGUUUAGCUUUGGCGGAAGGACCAUCUGAUGAAGACAAGUCGGGAGGACCAACUGUUGGACGAGUUACCCAAUUCCAUCCGGAGAUUGUCCUGUCUUGGAAGCGAUGUCACUGAUGAAACAUUCGGCUGACGUGGACAUGGUCAUCAAAAAGAUAAAGCUGACAUUUGCCCAUUGGCAUAACAUGGUCCUGGACCAACAGCAGUCAAGCAACAUUCUAUCUUAUUUUCGUCGUUUUAAAGACCUCAAUGGCUUGGUUGAACAGGAUUUUGUUCUAAUGUUUGGAGAGGAUUAAUCGUGCAAGUUUCUGGAGAAGUGGUCAACCACAUUCAAAAAGAAGAUCUUCCAACAAUACAGAAAGCUUCCCUCCAUUUUUGAGCUUGAGGAACGCCUGAUGGCAGCUGACCCUCCUGAGGAUGGGGCUGAAGUGAACGUUGACUUUGGUUGGGACAGCGACCUCUCAUCGAUUUUGCUGCUCUUACACUUGAUCCCACCGACUGCUCUAGGUCGGAAGAGGCCAGGAGAAGUUUCUGCAUCCCGGGCUGAGAAGCAUCUUGUGGUCUUCAAAAAGACUGGAUAAAGCAUCUUAGAACAUCUUGACACCAUUAUUACCACCACUCAACCCUAUCUCCUGGCUGUUGGAGUGAGGAAGAAUACAAUCCACGAGUUCUUCAUAAUUCUCGACAAGAAUGCCGUACCUUGCAGGUCAUACUCCUCUCUUGGUGCAUUUGAUGAACUGUUUAAAGCACACUUUGUGUUUGCGACAUCAUACAACACCAUGCUCCACAACAUGUACACAUUCAUGCCUUACUCCAAACCAUUUGAUGUUCAAAUGGCGUAUGGAACAUCAUGUUCCACAUUGUAUGUUGUCCCAUAUUGCCAUUUCAUGCAGACCUAAGUUCACCCUUUAUGUAUUCUGUCCCUAAAGUUGAUUGUCCUGCCUGACAAAUAAAUAAAGCUUACUAAACGUA